rnacentral:rRNA from 1 species
GAUGAACGCUGGCGGCAGGCCUAAUACAUGCGAGUCGAGCGAACAAAGAAGGAUCGUGCUUCGCUUACGUGAGCGGCGGGCGGGUGAUUAAUACGUAGAUAACCGGCCGAGGAGGCUAAGAUAACUUCAGGAACCCUGAUCCAGUACCGGAUCAUAGGUUGAACCUCAGGGUUCAAUAGUGAUAAACGUAUUUGCUGUGCCUUAGACGGAGAUCCUCGUCGCAUUAGCUAGUUGGUAAGGUAACGGCGUACCAAGGCGACGAUGCGUAGCGGACCUGAGAGGGUGAUCGGCCACACUGGAACUGAGACACGGUCCAGACUCCUACGGGAGGCAGCAGUAGGGAAUAUUCCGCAAUGGGCGAAAGCCUGAUGGAGCCACGCCGCGUGAGUGAUGAAGGUCUUCGGAUUGUAAAACACUGUUAUUAGGGAAGAACAACUGUGAAAGUAAAUCUUCAUGUCUUGACGUUACCUACUCAGAAAGCAACGGCUAACUACGUG